CACAGCCCUACCGCCGUCCCGCAACUCGCAGCCUACCGCCUCCCGCCGCCGCCGCGUCCCUCGCCAACAACACACACCGCCAGCGUAAGUCCCCUCUCCUCUCCCACAUCUUCUUCCUUGGGCUUAGAUACAAUACAACAGAUUAGAUCUCUCGGUCUCGGUCUCGGUCUCGGUUCCAAUGCUGGAUUACCUCGUUAUUAACGGAACGGAAUGAAUCAACCCCAAGGCGUGCCCUGUAUUGCUCGAUCCAAUCUAUUUUACCGUCUAUCUCUAUCUGUAUGACUGUAUCUGUCUCUAUUUUCUCUCAACAAAUUUCAGUCUGCAUUGCACGAAUACUCUCUAUUUCUUUCUUCUUUUUGUUUGUUUGUUUGUUAUAGAUUGAUUGAUUUAUACCGCACCACUGUCCUGCUAUUUACUUGUCUGUCUGUCUGUCUUUCACAAGGAUGCAUAUCCCUUCAUCACAUAUAUAUAUAUUCAUAUACACUACGACUACUUGUUUGCUAACAAUUCGUUUCCUCAUACAUACAUACAUACAGAUUCAGGAUCAGGAUCAGGAUGGUGCGAACAUAUCUUUUGAUGCCACAAGCUGAAAGGAUUAUAUGCGGUUUCUUCACUGGGGAUUCUCAUGUUCAAUAAUACUUCACCAUUGCACCUCAUUCAUUCAUUCUCACCUAAGCCUUUUACCAAUCUACAUUUCCUUUUUAACCUAAUAUAUAACAUCUCACUUUCCAUCCAUCUCACUACACUAGCCACCACAUCUCAAUACCAAUUUCCCCCUCCCUC
rnacentral:lncRNA from 1 species